GGAUGUGAGGGCGAUCUGGCUGUGACAUCUGUCACCCACUGAUCGCCAGGGUUGAUUCGGCUGAUCUGGCUGGCUAGGCGGGUGUCCCCUUCCUCCCUCACUGCUCCAUGUGUGUCCAUCCCGAAGCUACACACUCGUCCAAGAGGGCAACCACCCUCAAUAGAGGAGGACCAUUUCCUUGGUCAGGGACCAGUUCCUCUGUCAAGGGUAUACGAGUAGCUGUGCUCCCCAGCUAGAACCUCCAAACAAGCUCUCAGGAGUUACUUAUGCAUUUGUACACAAAUAAAGCAAUCUAAAAUGUUGACACAGACUAGAAUGGACUUGUAUGUUUUCACCACCAAUUAACCCAUCCUA
ensembl:misc_RNA 7SK 7SK RNA